rnacentral:misc_RNA from 1 species
CACGAGUCAAAUGGGUUUAUAAACACGCUACAGAAAAACUGGGUUAGUUGAUCAAGCCCAUCAUUUUUGUAGAUGGGCCUCUUCCCACUAAGAUCCCUUGAAUUGAGAUGAAACUCAAAUUGAACACCACACAGGAGAAGAAUAAGCAAAAAUCACAGUGAGGAAGAUCCAAGAACAUAAUGCCCAUCAUUUAAAAGGGUUUCAAAUUUGCAUUACUGCAUUUUAAACGACAAUAUUGAAAAUGCUCUAUGAAAGCAAUUGAAUCUAAGCUUAUUCUUCAGCGACUGGUACCCAUUUUCCAGGACAUAGAGAAGUCUUUGCCUACAGGAAUAUCCAAACCCGAAACCUCUACAGCCACACUCUUCUUAAUAUCUCCAACUUGAACAUCCUCGUGAUACUUCUGUUCCAUUGAACUCAACCCUACCUUCGAAGCCCCAACAACAGGGUUUCCAUUAACCUCGAGUGCCGAUGGCUGCCCACUUCCAUCUAAUCCCAACACAGUCACCUUCUCAAUAAUCCAACCCUUCUGCAAAGCAAACUUACCCUCCUCAACUUUCGACCAAACCUUUACAGUUCCUUGAUUUGUAGUUGCAUACAAGUGAACAUAUGUUGAAUACCCAUUUCCAAGCUUCAUUUCUGGAAGCUCAUCAUUAUCAAGGUAAAGGCUUCCAUUGGCUGCUGCAUAACUAGCUCCUGCAGGGAAGGUCACUACAAGGCUAAAAGGCGUCAUUCUGGCUUGCUUAGAAAUCAGUCCACCCUGCUGCAUCGGUAGGAUGCUAUUCUGAUACAAAUGCACAUUAACCACAUGCAAAGGUGCAUCGAGGGUGACGUAUUGUCCAUCUUUUGAUGUAAUGGUUUGUGUCAUAUCAAAUACGCUGUACCAACUACCUGGAGGAAAGAGGGCUUUAACCUGUGAUUUCCCUUGCUCAAGCACCGGAGACACCAUGAGACCACUUCCCAGCAAGAACUGAGUGCUCAACCCAUAACAUUCGGUGUAACUCGGGAAUGAGAAGAAAAGAGGUCUGGCAAUUGGGGCCCCACUCAUAUGAGCCUCAUAGUUCAAUGUGUACAGAUACGGAAGAAGCUUAUACCUCAUGCCAAGAGCAUUUCUAGCUGAUUCAGCUACCGACUCCCACUGAUAAAGCUCCUGCCUUGGAGAGUAAUAAUUGGCAUGAUCCCUUGAGAAGGGGUAGAAAGCACCAACUUCAAUCCAACGGUUGCAAAGCUCUUCUGUAGGUUGAGGAUAGAACCCACAUAUAUCUGCACCGACCAUUGGCACGCCAAAAAUACCAAAAUUUAACAUAGUAGAUAUGGAAUACCUCAGAUUCUCCCAAGUGCCCUGAUUAUCACCCGUCCAAUGAGCAGCAUAUUUGCCUGAUCCAACAUAUGUGGAGCGUGUCAAAAUAAACGGCCGCUUGCCCUCAAGCUCUUGCAGGGCCUUGUGAGUGGCAAUAGCUUGAGAGAAUCCAUACAGACUAUGGGCAUCAUACUCCAAAACACCAUUAUAGUGGACUGCACUGGUGGCUAUGGUUUUGUACCCUAUUGGAGCCUGUAUCCCUGAAGCAUUUAUCUUGUAAGGUGGAUCAUCCCACCUUGUCUUUGUUAUGUUCUUGCAAUCCAGGCAACAGACCCAACCAGGUCCAGUUCCAUUUGGACAUAUCCUGCCCUCUGGUAUUGUGCAAAGUCCAGAACAAAAGUUUGAUGCUUCAUUCAUGUCAAUCCAUAGGCCAUCAACAGGAACAAGUUCGUGGAAGCGGCGAAUUUCAUCACCCCACCAUUGAACUGUUUUUGGAUUGAGGAAGUCUGGAAAGUUGACUGCUCCAGGCCAAACUUGAGCUAAGAAGGGCUUACCAUGAUACUUGAUAAAUACAUCAUUGGCAAUGGCUCUUUGGUAUACACCGUAAGUGGAGUUGACACCAAUUCCAGGAUCAAUAAUCACAAUGUACUUCAUUCCAAUGCUGUGUAUUUUUUCUAGGAAUGCCAGGAGCUUUGGACGAGGGUAGUUGAUAGGGUUGAGGGUAAAAUCCUUGUGCCCAUCCAUGUGAUCAUCAUCAUUCCAGAUCACAUCCAGAGGGAUCUGAGCCUUUUUGUAAUUCUCGACCACAUCUUCAACCACAGAGAGGUUAUGGUAGCCCCAUCUGCACUGGUGGAAUCCUGUAAAACCAAAAUCAAAAGAAUCAGAACGCGUGGUCGAUUGAUUGUAAACAUUCCUCGCACUUCUUUUCUUCUUUAGUUAAUAUGUAAUGCGCACAAACAUAGGUAAUUGCCUCCAAAACGAGAAAGAGAGCAACAUGAAACACAUCUACUUUCUACAGGAUGUAUUAUGCAUUUGAAAUAUAGUUACCAAUCCUAAACAUUUUUAAUUAUUCAAGAAACAAAGAAAAAUUUGACAACUCAACAUCUCAGCUUUCAAUCAUAUAAUUCUGUUUAUUUUCCAUCAAUAAACAAGCAAUUCAAGCAGCUUUUUUGGGGGAGGGGAAUCAAAGAUCUUUUAUCCUAGGGGAAUAUACUUUGAAACACGUGGCUAAAUUGUUCAAUAAAUCUAGUAACUUCAACAAAAUGCAAGAACACCACUAAUAAACUAAACUGGUAGCUUCGCCGUUCAAAAGAAAUUCAACCACUAUUUCAGAAAGCCAGCCUACCUGCUAACACGCUAAUUAAUUAUUUCAAGAAAUAUCCAUUAUUGUGUUACUAUUAUCUGCUGAAAAAAGGGGUAAAGAUUAACCAGAGCAAGAAGCCAGAGAAUCACAUGAAAGAUUAUAAGACAGUGGGGAAUUUGGAUUUAUUACAUAUAUCCUGUAACACAAAAUAGGUAAAUAUUCAUCCAGCCACCGACAUGACAAUUGCAAUAAAGCAAGGGAACACCAAUAGAGCAAUAUACAUACUCCACAGCCAAAGUAGUCUCACUCUUAUGGGACAUGGCAACCAAGUUGCAAAGCACAGGGCCUACAAAAAUGCCAGUCUACUAUUAACAUCAUGUGGGGCCAACGUGAGUCAUUAUCAUGUUCAUGGGCCCGGAGUUAGUAAUUAUCUAUGCAAUGCGGUAACAAUUUAGGACUGAUUGAUUAAUUUCCAUCUCGUGUAGGGAAGAUAAUAUUUUAAAGGACAGCAUUAUGAGCAAGGAUGUAGAGUAACAUUGCUUCUUUGCGGUCUCCCAGUUACUUUGCACAAAAUUUACAAAAAGGUCAACAUUUUGUGCUGCGAACUUAGCUUAUGAAAAGAAGCAAACUUUCAACAAUGAGACUGGCAUGAGAUCGGUAAAUUGUAAUAUGGACCUGGAAAACUAAACAUCCAUCAAAAGAAGAUUUUUAAAGCUAAAAGUUGUUUAUGGAGAAAUGCAAAAUUUGUUUGAUUGAUGAGAGCCUUUAAGCAUCACAAUGAAGUAAAACAAAUUCUGGGCCAACCCUACCAACCAAAAUUUAAAAAAGAACAUUAAUAUCCCAUAGUCCAACAACACCUGUACCGCAUAUGUGAGGUCAUCCACAAAUCACACCGUCAAUCAUCAUUAGACCACAUGCCAUACCAAUCAUAGGGGUCCUAAAUACACCUAAACAUAGGCUGAUAGGCGUCGGUACCGUCUGGUACCGGAACUGUACCAGUGGUUCGGGUCCUACGGGCUGAGAUUAGGUCUGAUCUUAAUUUUAAUUCGAUUUCCAUUUAAUUAAUUCGAUCUACCAAAUCCUACAGUCAAUUUUUUAAAAAAAUAAAAAGUGAAAAAUCUGAUUUUAAUUCAGAAAAAAACUAAAUCGUCCAAAAUUAAUCUGAUUCAAUUUCAAUUCAAUUCAAUUCAAGUGGUUUUAAUCUAACUUAUUGGGCCCAUGUGCUCCUAAACACCCGACUCAUUCUUCUUCAUGAGAUCUAAGGUCUAUUUUCAAUGAUACAAAAUAAUAUCGACAAUGAUAUCAAUGGAAACAAAUGGCAUCAUUACACACGAUCAGUGCCUAACCUAAUAUCAAUGAUAUAUAAUUAUGGUAUCUACCCACAAAUUUAGGAUAUUAUUGAUUAGUAUAUCACAUUUCUUGUGUAUAUUCCAUCAUUUUCUCAAUCAAAAAUCUCAUCUACACAACAGGACAUAUCGAAUGAAACACCAUAAUCAUAAGAAAAUAAACACAAAGCAAGUGACAACAACGAUAUCGACGUGAAACAGUAAAUACGAAUGAGCAGAUGCUAUAUCGACGUGAAAGAGUGCACCUUAAAAUUGACCGGAAAAGACUUGGUAUCAGUGAAAGAGAGAAAGCUGGCCGAGCAUCAGUAAAUACCAAAAAAACUUCACAAAAAAAAUAAAAAAUAAAAAAGCCAAAGCAGUAAAGCUAUUUCUUGUUCUUAUCGAAUACAUCAUCAGGAACAACCUUGAGCAACUUCCUAUCCUUAGACUUGGCAAUCUUCUUCAAUGUCUUUGGAUUCGUAAUCUUCUGCAACUUAGUCCCAGACCUCAAUAUAUUUUCCUGCUUCUUCUUCUCUCUCUCCUCCCUCUUCUUCCUCUUCUGCUCCUUAUUCCUCUUUAUCUCAUCCUUCAACUCAUUCAUUCUCUCUCUGUAAGCUCUCUUUAUCUCCUUCUGCUGCUCCCUCUGCUCGAACGUAGUGCCCUUCCUGCUCACUAGCUUCGCCGACGCCCUCUGCUUCCUUGGCUGCUUCCACUUCCGACCCGACACUCUCCCAGCUAUCACGCCGUCAUACGUCGGAUUUCCGAAUACCGGCUUGUCUGGAUUCUCUGAUGAUGGUACCGCCGACCUCUUUGCUGGAGGAAGCGUGUCCCCGUCGAUCUCCAUGGAUGCGUCGCCGUCGUCUGUUGAGACAUGCGAUUGAGCUUCGCGUUUGCGCUUGUAGGUUUUGCCACCGAAGCCUUCAUCGAGGCGUCGGAAAUCGAUGGUGCAGGCCAUUGUGUCGCUGCUGAAUUACGAAACCCUAAAUUUUUUUUUUUCCUUCUUUUUCU